AUUUUGGUGUGAGUUCUUGUCUUCCGAUGGAUACAGAAAUCCAAAGGGAUACAGGAGAAACCAGAGUUCGCACCACUUUAAUCUAGACUCACCUUGUUCAUCAUAUCCUUGCUACAAUGGAGGCGCGUGUGAGGCAAACUACAGAGACAAUACAUUUGAAUGCAUCUGUGAGAGCGGUUUCACUGGAGAGUAUUGCGAAAAAGGGAACACUCAUUGAAGUCAUGUAAAGAUAUUUAUGACGUUCACAAGCUUAACGUGAGUAAGUUGGUCCCUCUGAUCAUCAGCGAGAAAACAGUCUCCAUUCUCUGUCAGAUGGGGGAUUUUGGAUGUGGAGAUGGAGGUU
rnacentral:lncRNA from 1 species